rnacentral:rRNA from 1 species
UCCAGCCUUAAUCGGAUUCUGGCCUUGAAAGCAUCGAGCGUGUAAGUCAGUUGAAUUCCCUGCUCAACUGGACUUGCAAUCGAAACUGGCCAGCUAGGUUCUGUAGAGGGCGGUAGGAUCAGUGUAGCGUGAAUUGCGUAGAGAUCGAGGACUCCGUGCGAAGCGUCCCCUGACGAAGACUGACGCUCAGGUGCGAAAUGCGUGGGAGCAAACAGAUAGAUACCUGGUAGUCACGCUGUAAACGAUGUCGAUUGAAGGUGUGCUCUGAGGCGUGGCUUCCGGAGCUACGCGUUAAAUCGACCGCCUGGGGAGUACGGCCGCAAGGUUAAAACUCAAAUGAAUUGACGGGGGCCCGCACAAGCGGUGGAGCAUGUGGUUUAAUUCGAUGCAACGCGAAGACCCUUACCUACUCUUGACAUCCAGAGAACUUAGCAGAGAUGCUUUUGCGGCUUCGGGAACUCUGAGACAGUUACCUCUGUUCGUCAGCUCUGUCUUGUUUUUUUGGUUUUUUUUUGCAUGUAUCGUCGCGACUACCCCUUUUCACCCUCUGCAGUGCGGGAGGCCGGACAGGUCCCCCUCAUUAUACUGGGAAGGGUGGGAUGACGUCAAGUCAUCAUGGCCCUGUAUGGUCUCGAUAGCUCCCCCUCCUAAGGCGUACAAGAGAAGCGACCUCGCGAGAGCAAGCGGACCUCAUAAAGUACGUCGUAGUCCGGAUUGGAGUCUGCAACUCGACUCCAUGAAGUCGGAAUCGCUAGUAAUCGUAGAUCAGAAUGCUACGGUGAAUACGUUCCCGGGCCUUGUACACACCGCCCGUCACACCAUGGGAGUGGGUGCAAAAGAAGUAGGUAGCUAACCUCGGAGGCGCUAUACUACUGCAGUUAGCCGCCCACG